GGGUUGUGAGGUUAAGCGACUAAGCGUACACGGUGGAUGCCCUGGCAGUCAGAGGCGAUGAAGGACGUGCUAAUCUGCGAUAAGCGUCGGUAAGGUGAUAUGAACCGUUAUAACCGGCGAUUUCCGAAUGGGGAAACCCAGUGUGAUUCGUCACACUAUCAUUAACUGAAUCCAUAGGUUAAUGAGGCGAACCGGGGGAACUGAAACAUCUAAGUACCCCGAGGAAAAGAAAUCAACCGAGAUUCCCCCAGUAGCGGCGAGCGAACGGGGAGCAGCCCAGAGCCUGAAUCAGUGUGUGUGUUAGUGGAAGCGUCUGGAAAGGCGCGCGAUACAGGGUGACAGCCCCGUACACAAAAAUGCACAUGCUGUGAGCUCGAUGAGUAGGGCGGGACACGUGGUAUCCUGUCUGAAUAUGGGGGGACCAUCCUCCAAGGCUAAAUACUCCUGACUGACCGAUAGUGAACCAGUACCGUGAGGGAAAGGCGAAAAGAACCCCGGCGAGGGGAGUGAAAAAGAACCUGAAACCGUGUACGUACAAGCAGUGGGAGCACAGAGCAAUCUGUGUGACUGCGUACCUUUUGUAUAAUGGGUCAGCGACUUAUAUUCUGUAGCAAGGUUAACCGAAUAGGGGAGCCGAAGGGAAACCGAGUCUUAACUGGGCGUUAAGUUGCAGGGUAUAGACCCGAAACCCGGUGAUCUAGCCAUGGGCAGGUUGAAGGUUGGGUAACACUAACUGGAGGACCGAACCGACUAAUGUUGAAAAAUUAGCGGAUGACUUGUGGCUGGGGGUGAAAGGCCAAUCAAACCGGGAGAUAGCUGGUUCUCCCCGAAAGCUAUUUAGGUAGCGCCUCGUGAAUUCAUCUCCGGGGGUAGAGCACUGUUUCGGCAAGGGGGUCAUCCCGACUUACCAACCCGAUGCAAACUGCGAAUACCGGAGAAUGUUAUCACGGGAGACACACGGCGGGUGCUAACGUCCGUCGUGAAGAGGGAAACAACCCAGACCGCCAGCUAAGGUCCCAAAGUCAUGGUUAAGUGGGAAACGAUGUGGGAAGGCCCAGACAGCCAGGAUGUUGGCUUAGAAGCAGCCAUCAUUUAAAGAAAGCGUAAUAGCUCACUGGUCGAGUCGGCCUGCGCGGAAGAUGUAACGGGGCUAAACCAUGCACCGAAGCUGCGGCAGCGACGCUUAUGCGUUGUUGGGUAGGGGAGCGUUCUGUAAGCCUGUGAAGGUGUACUGUGAGGUAUGCUGGAGGUAUCAGAAGUGCGAAUGCUGACAUAAGUAACGAUAAAGCGGGUGAAAAGCCCGCUCGCCGGAAGACCAAGGGUUCCUGUCCAACGUUAAUCGGGGCAGGGUGAGUCGACCCCUAAGGCGAGGCCGAAAGGCGUAGUCGAUGGGAAACAGGUUAAUAUUCCUGUACUUGGUGUUACUGCGAAGGGGGGACGGAGAAGGCUAUGUUGGCCGGGCGACGGUUGUCCCGGUUUAAGCGUGUAGGCUGGUUUUCCAGGCAAAUCCGGAAAAUCAAGGCUGAGGCGUGAUGACGAGGCACUACGGUGCUGAAGCAACAAAUGCCCUGCUUCCAGGAAAAGCCUCUAAGCAUCAGGUAACAUCAAAUCGUACCCCAAACCGACACAGGUGGUCAGGUAGAGAAUACCAAGGCGCUUGAGAGAACUCGGGUGAAGGAACUAGGCAAAAUGGUGCCGUAACUUCGGGAGAAGGCACGCUGAUAUGUAGGUGAAGUCCCUCGCGGAUGGAGCUGAAAUCAGUCGAAGAUACCAGCUGGCUGCAACUGUUUAUUAAAAACACAGCACUGUGCAAACACGAAAGUGGACGUAUACGGUGUGACGCCUGCCCGGUGCCGGAAGGUUAAUUGAUGGGGUCAGCGCAAGCGAAGCUCUUGAUCGAAGCCCCGGUAAACGGCGGCCGUAACUAUAACGGUCCUAAGGUAGCGAAAUUCCUUGUCGGGUAAGUUCCGACCUGCACGAAUGGCGUAAUGAUGGCCAGGCUGUCUCCACCCGAGACUCAGUGAAAUUGAACUCGCUGUGAAGAUGCAGUGUACCCGCGGCAAGACGGAAAGACCCCGUGAACCUUUACUAUAGCUUGACACUGAACAUUGAGCCUUGAUGUGUAGGAUAGGUGGGAGGCUUUGAAGUGUGGACGCCAGUCUGCAUGGAGCCGACCUUGAAAUACCACCCUUUAAUGUUUGAUGUUCUAACGUUGACCCGUGAUCCGGGUUGCGGACAGUGUCUGGUGGGUAGUUUGACUGGGGCGGUCUCCUCCUAAAGAGUAACGGAGGAGCACGAAGGUUGGCUAAUCCUGGUCGGACAUCAGGAGGUUAGUGCAAUGGCAUAAGCCAGCUUGACUGCGAGCGUGACGGCGCGAGCAGGUGCGAAAGCAGGUCAUAGUGAUCCGGUGGUUCUGAAUGGAAGGGCCAUCGCUCAACGGAUAAAAGGUACUCCGGGGAUAACAGGCUGAUACCGCCCAAGAGUUCAUAUCGACGGCGGUGUUUGGCACCUCGAUGUCGGCUCAUCACAUCCUGGGGCUGAAGUAGGUCCCAAGGGUAUGGCUGUUCGCCAUUUAAAGUGGUACGCGAGCUGGGUUUAGAACGUCGUGAGACAGUUCGGUCCCUAUCUGCCGUGGGCGCUGGAGAACUGAGGGGGGCUGCUCCUAGUACGAGAGGACCGGAGUGGACGCAUCACUGGUGUUCGGGUUGUCAUGCCAAUGGCACUGCCCGGUAGCUAAAUGCGGAAGAGAUAAGUGCUGAAAGCAUCUAAGCACGAAACUUGCCCCGAGAUGAGUUCUCCCUGACUCCUUGAGAGUCCUGAAGGAACGUUGAAGACGACGACGUUGAUAGGCCGGGUGUGUAAGCGCAGCGAUGCGUUGAGCUAACCGGUACUAAUGAACCGUGAGGCUUAACCUUACAACGCCGAAG
rnacentral:rRNA from 1 species